GACGAACGCUGGCGGCGUGCCUAACACAUGCAAGUCGAACGGAGAUAUGGAAGUAGUUUACUAUUGAAAUAUCUUAGUGGCGCACGGGUGAGUAACACGUAGGCAACCUACCCUUCAGUGGGGGACAACAGAGGGAAACUUCUGCUAAUACCGCAUACGGCCUUGUACUGGGAUGUACGAGGAGAAAGGAUUUAUUCGCUGAGGGAUGGGCCUGCGGCCUAUCAGGUAGUUGGUGGGGUAAAGGCCUACCAAGCCUGCGACGGGUAGCCGGACUGAGAGGUCGACCGGCCACACUGGAACUGAGACACGGUCCAGACUCCUACGGGAGGCAGCAGUGAGGAAUAUUGGUCAAUGGCCGAAAGGCUGAACCAGCCAUCCCGCGUGCAGGAUGACGGCCCUA
rnacentral:rRNA from 1 species